AUGAGAGAAAUUGGUAUGGACUACAUUAGGGAUGGCCAACUGGUGGCCCGCGGUUUUGAAGGCCCUUGGAUCAAUUCUCUACCUCAAAACAGAGGCACCAUUCGGACCGGGGACCCCUUGACAUCCACCUUGGUGCUGCUGUUCGCCUGCUGUGGGAAAAAGACAUCACAACGCUCUCUAUAGCCCUUCUAAAGACACAGGGGUCAUGCCUGACGCAGCUGUGAGAGGCUACACCCAGCGCUAAAACCCAGCAGGCCCAGCAUAGAGUGAGAGAUAGCCCUGCAAGUAGCCACCAAAUCUGCUAUUGAUGACUGAACCAGUCAUUGACUACCGGACUAGCUAUCGAUUAACGACCCAUGCUUGGGAGGAAGAGCCGAACCCUGUUUGGGUAGAGCCAAACAAACAAAACCUGCCUGGGUAGAGCCGAACAAACAUAUGCCAACGCUCUGUAAGUGAAUCAACUGCUGUGUUAGUUUCCUCGUUGGUCAUUGUUAGCCUAUAGCCCUAAAUCCUAGCUCCUUUAUACAUUGUGAUACUGUGUAUUGUCAUUGUUGUAAAAGCUGAAUUUAUAAUAAAGAACCUUUGAUUG
rnacentral:lncRNA from 13 species